GAGGGUAUAGCUCAGUGGUAGAGCCCAUGCUUAGCAUGCAAGAGGUCCUGGGUUCAAUCCUCAGCACCUCCA
rnacentral:tRNA from 1 species